GCCACGGCUAAACUACGUGCCAGCAGCCGCGGUAAUACGUAGGUGGCAAGCGUUGUCCGGAUUUAUUGGGCGUAAAGGGAGCGCAGGUGGUGGCUUAAGUCUGAUGUGAAAGCCCACGGCUCAACCGUGGAAGGUCAUUGGAAACUGGGUCACUUGAGUGCAGAAGAGGAAAGUGGAAUUCCAUGUGUAGCGGUGAAAUGCGUAGAUAUAUGGAGGAACACCAGUGGCGAAGGCGACUUUCUGGUCUGACACUGACACUGAGGCUCGAAAGCGUGGGGAGCGAACAGGAUUAGAUACCCUGGUAGUCCACGCUGUAAACGAUGAAUGUUAAGUGUUGGGGGGCUUCCACCCCUCAGUGCUGGCGUUAACGCAAUAAACAUUCCGCCUGGGGAGUACGGCCGCA
rnacentral:rRNA from 1 species